CAGGGGGACAUGUGCACGCUCUGUUCACACAUCCACUCACACCAUGUGCACCCUCUGUAGUUCUAUGGUCGGGGGGCCUGUCCUCCUGCUGUGGUUCUGCUUCUUUACACACACACCGUAACAAAGUCUCAUGGAAUGCAUGCCGCGUUUAACGCAAUACAAUACAACUUUCAGCAACGGAUCUCUUGGCUCUCGCAUCGAUGAAGAACGCAGCGAAAUGCGAUAAGUAAUGUGAAUUGCAGAAUUCAGUGAAUCAUCGAAUCUUUGAACGCACCUUGCGCCCUUUGGCCACCCCCAAAGGGCAUGCCUGUUUGAGUAUCAUGAACACCUCAACUCUUCAUGGUUUUCCAUGAUGAGCUUGGACUUUGGGGGUUUUGCUGGCCUUGUGGUCAGCUCCUCUAAAAUGAAUCAGCUUGCCAGUGUUUGGUGGGCAUCACAGGUGUGAUAACUAUCUACGCUUGUGGUUUUCCACCAGGUAACCUUCAGCAGUGGAGGUUCGCUGGAGCUCACAGAUGUCUCUCCUCAGUGAGGACAGCCCUUUGAAUGUUUGAUCUCAAAUCAGGUAGGACUACCCGCUGAACUUA
rnacentral:rRNA from 1 species